rfam:Dipodomys ordii contig_69618, whole genome shotgun sequence.
UGGAAGGUGGCUCAGUGAUAGAGUGCUUGCCUUGCAUGCAUGAGGGCCUGGGUUUGAUUCCUCAGCAUCACAU